UACGUAGGGGGCAAGCGUUGUCCGGAAUCAUUGGGCGUAAAGCGCGUGUAGGCGGUCCGGUAAGUCAGCUGUGAAAGUCGGGGGCUCAACCCUCGGAUGCCGGUGGAUACUGUCGGGCUUGAGUACGGAAGAGGCGAGUGGAAUUCCUGGUGUAGCGGUGAAAUGCGCAGAUAUCAGGAGGAACACCAAUUGCGAAGGCAGCUCGCUGGGACGUUACUGACGCUGAGACGCGAAAGCGUGGGGAGCAAACAGG
rnacentral:rRNA from 1 species